rnacentral:rRNA from 1 species
ACAGCAGUAGCCGCGGGAAUACGAAGGGGGCUAGCGUUGCUCGGAAUGACUGGGCGUAAAGGGCGCGUAGGCGGAUUGUUUAGUUAGGCGUGAAAUUCCUGGGCUUAACCUGGGGACUGCGCUUAAUACAGGCAGUCUAGAGUGAGGAAGAGGGUUGUGGAAUUCCCAGUGUAGAGGUGAAAUUCGUAGAUAUUGGGAAGAACACCGGUGGCGAAGGCGGCAACCUGGUCCUUGACUGACGCUGAGGCGCGAAAGCGUGGGGAGCAAACAGGAUUAGAUACCCGUGUAGUCCCUGUCUCUUAUAC